UUCCGGAAGGUGACCCUGCGGAAGGACCAUUA
rnacentral:rRNA from 1 species